rnacentral:lncRNA from 1 species
CGCGCUUGGCCCAUUUGUGCUCUUAAAACAUAAAAGGAUCAAGGAUUUUUUAAAAAAAAAUUGUAAGAAACUCAAGCUAGACAGAAUCAUCUUAAUUUCUGCUAUGUUUGUGAAGCAAGUAUUGACUUGGCAGGCAAAUGGAUUGUGGUGGUAUGACUUUGUAACACAAUGGACCACAUGAACAAUUUAACAAACAAAGCUAGAAUUCUAUACUAACUUUAUCAGAGAAGAAAAAUUCAGGCUGCUGUGAGGGGAAUCAACAGAGACUGAAACCCUGACACUGACAGACAAAUGUCCUCUGAAGCCAAUAUAUAACACACUUAAGAUUAGUUUAGGCUGGUCUUGCUUCUAGGUGAAGGGGUGAGAAUAUGUUUUCCCUGGCUCAACUUACCACACCUCAAUGCCUACAGAUGUGUUAUCACCUAACUGUUCACUUGUUUCUGUCAUGUGUUUUCAUGUUCAUUUCACAAUGCAUGCCCUGCCCCUGUCUCACUUUCCCCUUAUUCUGGCAUAUCAACUCGUAUUUCCCAAUUUCCCACUAUAAAGGGCAUACAGUGCUACCACUUCCUCUCUCCUCCAAAAUAGCUUCUCCACCAUUCUCACUCAUUAUAGGGAUUAGCAAGCAGGCAGCUGCUCAAGCCAGAAAUCAGGAAGUUGGCCCUGAACACACUCUCUUUGUCUCUCUCUCUCUUUCUCUCGCUCACUCAUUUCCACCUCUUACCCACAUGCACACAUCCAAUUAAUCGCCAAGUCCUAAACUGGCUUCCUUCUAAAUCUCUCAAAUCUAUUUACAUCUCCUGCCCUUGUUGCUACGACCUUAGCCUCCUAGCUAGCAUCUCUUCUCUCAUCAAAAUUACUAAACAGUCUCCUUACUGGUCUCCCCAUCCACUCUGAGCUCCCUCUAAUCCACUCCACACCUCUGCCCAGGGGUAUGAUUCUUCAAAACGGAGCGGUUUUGAAAGAUACAAAUCUGCUUGUGUCAUUCCCCUGCUUAAGUGGUUUCCUGCCUCUACAGGCUGCAUCAGUGUGACCUAAUCUGCUCUUGCCUUUGGUCACUGUGCUCUCUUCUUAACAGGCUUCUCCCAGUUCUUCACACUGGGUACCUGAUCACUAAGUGCUGGACCUUCUUUGUCCAUACCUUUUUGCCUUUCCUUAUCUACCUCAGCUCUAAUAGCAAAGAGCCAGGCUUAACCAUCUAGAAGAGGUUAAAUCCCCUGGCCAUGUGUCUUCAUUGGACGUUUUGUGCUUUCCUUCAAUGACUGUCUACUUCAUGGGAACUAAUACUCUGAGAACAGGGAUCAGUCAUGUUUGUGUUAUUCACUACAGUAAAUUCCUGGAGUCAGCACAGUGCCUGGCGUGCUUGAUAAGUAUUUUGUGAAUUUACUCCAGAAUCAUAAAAGAAUCAUAUGGCUGGAUGGAAAUUUCCUGGUUACUUAGUCCAGCCCACUGCUGAUACUUCAAUUCUCUUCCUCUAGAGAACUGGAGUCUUUCUUAUAGCAUAUAGAAUAAUUAGUUAACAAAUAUUAAUAAGGAAAAUGGUUGUUGUGAAAAAAUGUAAAGUAUCCUACGGCCUAGUGAUUACGAGCUUGGACUCUGGAGCCAGACCACCCAAGUUAAAAUCCUAGCUUUGCUACUCACUAAUUAUGUGAUUUUGGGCUUCUUACUUAACCCCUCUGUACUUCAGACUCCACAUCUAUAAAAUGGGGAUAAAAAGGGUACCUUUUUCAUAGGGCUGCUAUGAGGAUUAUACAGACUGUUAUGUUGGUGUUGGCUACUAUUAUUAUUACUUGGUUUUAUAUUAAGUGUAUGCCACAAUUUAAAUGUUAAAACAGCUUUAUGGAAAUGGGCUGACUUGUCAAAUACAGUGCUAAAAAGCUACUUGCCCCCAUGGUAACUUUUCACUAACUAAAAGAAGAUUUAUUCAUUUAUUCAUACAUAAUUAGAGUCAUUAUUUCUACUUACUGAUAUCUAGAUCCAGUUCUCUUCCUUCUGGACACAUGGAAGACUAAAUUUCCUAUUCCUCUUUGGCUGGCUGGGGCCAUGUAAAUUGUGAGUGGGAGUGGCAGGAGUCCUGUCUGAACUGGAAUAUUGAAUUGCUAGAGUGAGACCCUCUAGAGCUCUUUUUCCCCUGACUCUGUGAUCAUGGAAGCAUGUAUUGAGUCUCUGUCAGCGUGGGUCCCUGAGUAACUACAAUGAACAAAGACCCUACCAAUUCUUACUGAAUUUGUUGUAUGAGUGAGAAAUAUGGCACUAAGAUUUUUAGAGUGGUCUAUAACUACAGUAUAACCUAGCCUAUUCUGACUGAUAUAGUAACAUCUGCAGGCUAUUACUUUCUUAAUCAAUCCAUAGGAGAGAAAACCUUGAUAGGAUUCUUUGGUCUUAACUAUUUUUCUGUUGACUAUCCUC